GUACCUACCUGGCAGGGAGACACCAUGAUCAGGAAUGUAGUUUUCCCAGGUAAGGCUCAACCAUUGCAUUUGGGGUGUGCUAACCCCUGUGAUUUUCCCAAAGCCAAGACACUUGACUGCAUGAUUUAUGGUAUGGGGGACCGUGUUCACAUUAUCCCCUG